rnacentral:tRNA from 1 species
GGAAGAUUGCCGUAAUGGGUAGCGGAGCGGUUUGCUAAACCGUCCUGGAGGGUUGCCAGUGCAGGUUCGAGUCCUGCAUCUUCCG